UUCAAAACCCUAGCAAGCAGGGACUUAGCCUCUUCUUACUCAUGGCUCUCCGUUGUCGUCUGGGCAGAAAUCAAUGCAAUACGAAGAAAUUUGGUUUUUUGGGCUCACAUAUGAGGCAUCAUGGAAUUCCUUCUUGGCCUUUUUCCUCCACCACCGCCACCACUCUUCCGGCGGAGGGAAGUCCUGACGAGCAUCGUAGAAGAAGCAUACACACUUCAAUCAUAAAUGGGUGUUCAGCAGUUGACUCGACAAAGACGACGGCGACGACUCUGCCAGAGCAUUGUGUGGAAACCCUAGGGAGCGGUUUGGGGAAUUUAGGAGACGCUGAGACAAAUCCUCGCGUCAAAGCCCUGGGCCAAUUCGCAGCGUUCACCAUCGGUGGCGUGCAGCAUCUGAAACUUGUGUUUGAAAGGGUGGUCAGCGCCAAGGUUCAACUGGUCAAAAAUGGCCGAUUCUACUAUAUUACUCUGGAGGCAUCCAACAAAGGUGUCAAAAAGUUAUACAAAGCUCAUGUUCUUGAUACCCUCAUCGAAAGUAACAGCGUCUCCUUGAAGGACUGGUGCGAGCUCGAGUCCCAACAUUCAUGAAUCAUCCUUCUUCAGAAAAUGUAUAUCAGGGUUUGCUCGCUCUUGGUGCAUUAUGGACUCUUUUGUGUUUGGAACAUGGACCCUCUCCAGGUUCGUUUGGUGCUUGUUGCAGUUUGGCUCGUUGACAACAUCUUGUUUCGUUGCAUUAAAACGACACCCUCUUGAUGCAUAGGCAACACUUUACAUUGAGAUAUGACACCAUUACAUUGAGAACACGACAUACACAAUACCAUUACAUCGAAAAUGCAAUACUAUUAAAUUGUAUUUUUGAUAUAAUGGUGUUGUCUUUGUCGAGUUCAAAAGUAAUGUUGUUGCAUGUGUUGCCUCUCAAUGUGAUUAGUGUUGCACCUUGAUGUAAGGUAUUGCUGCUAUUGCAUGUGUAUCAAGACGAUGCCGUUUUGAUGCAUAUUGCUUUACGUGUUUUGUGUUUAUAAUUGAACAGACUGUGUUUAUCUUGUCCAUCAGAGUUUGUUCUUUUAUUGCGAUCUUAGUUUGAAGAAUCUCCAAUUGUGCUUUCAAUGCAGUAACUUCAUCCUCCCUACCUGAUAUACCUGGUUGUACUUAAAAAUUGUGCAUUGCCUUCAGGCUAGCUGAGGCUCAGAUGGUGAAUACACCAGGAGAAAGUGUACUAGUUUUAAGGGUGUAGAAAAAGGAAGAAAGUGUAUUGAAGUUGUGAUUGUCACUGUACCAAUGUCGCAAAGUGGAGAGCCUUUGGUGUUUAGAAGAGGCCGCGUUGUUUUCUAAUGUAUGGGAUUGAAUAUUUCCGUUCUUACAAACUUUUUUCUUUAUUAUGGCAGAGUUGUGCUUGAGAAUCUAGGUUUUCUUGCUUCAUUAUUUUAAGCUAUUAGUUUAUGAAUAUGAAUGCUUUCUCCAUUGUUUGCCUUUUGAUUUUGCAAAAUGUAGAUGUCAUAUGGGUUGGAUUGUUGUGGAUAGUUCAAUUGUGAGAAUGGGUAAUUGUGAGUAUGGUUUUCUUGCUUCAUUAUUGUCAAUUGUGAGUUUCCGUUGUUCAAAUACAUCUAUGAAUUUGACUUAGACCUGCUAUUUGAACCUUUUUUUUUUUCUUCCUUUUCUGUCUAGUAUUUCUGAGAUAAAAUCUGCUCUGUCCAGCCUUGUGACACUCUCUCUGGACCUAUCUCUAAAGCAUCAGUGUGUCCCAUUUUGAUGGAAUUAAGAUCACUCUUGUGGCGCAGGACAUCCUGUGCUGCAUACGCAAUACAAUACAUUGUUUAUGAAAUGCAAUUCACCAGCGACGAAACAUGCGAUGUUAAGUAAGUUGCAUAAGCGAUCCGAAGCUGUUGCUUAACCGAUGUAAAGUGGUUAAGCAAGUUUGAAGAAUCUCCGACUGUGCUUUCAGUUCAAUUAUUUCAUCCUCACUACCUUGUUUAUAGUCGAAUCAACUUAUCGCAUCUUGUUUUUGGUAUGUUGCUACCAGCACAACUCUCUUUGAUCUUCGGUCUUUGUUGUGGGUUGAAUUAUGAUAAAGAAGGUUCCAUGGUUGUAUAAUUCCCAAGCGGAAAGUCGGCUGUCUACUUGCAAAGCAGAUGGAGUGGUCAAGCAGUUGUUCCUGCGCAUCAAUCAGUAUGAAUAUGGAACUUCUUAUUCAAUCCAAAAACUGAGGGACUGGAGCUAACAUCAAAAACUCAUUUGCAUGCUUAAAAGCCUAGACUUGUUCCAUUCUCCCACUGUGAACCUUCAUUCUACGAUAAUUUCACUCGGGGAUUACACACAUUGGAAAUUAUGUGAGAUAAUGCAUCUUUAAGACUAUGUCCCAAACAGAACGUGCUAGGCAUUGGAAUCCGGAUCCCUUCUUGUGGAGGGGAUUAUGUGUUUUGGUCCGGUGUAGAUUGUUAGUGGAACGUACUUCUACGAUCGUUACAAACGAUCUAAAAGAUGUGAAGUUAUUACAUAGGCAGAGAUCUAAAGAAUCCGUGUUUCUUUGUACUUUUAAGUAAGGAUUUAAAGAAUCCGUGUUUCUUUGUACUUUUUUAACUACUUGCAUAUAUUACGUGUAGAGUUUUUGUCUGUGAUGACAAAAUUGAACCUUGAAAAGGAGUGUCAUUAUACAUCAUUGGUGUUGUAUUUACUGUUUUCU